rnacentral:rRNA from 1 species
CCUACGGGAGGCAGCAGUGGGGAAUAUUGCGCAAUGGGCGAAAGCCUGACGCAGCGACGCCGCGUGAGGGAUGAAGGUCUUCGGAUCGUAAACCUCUGUCAGCAGGGCAGAACGGUCACUGUGCUAAUCAGCAGUGAAUUGACGGUACCUGCAAAGGAAGCACCGGCUAACUCCGUGCCAGCAGCCGCGGUAAUACGGAGGGUGCGAGCGUUAAGCGGAAUUACUGGGCGUAAAGCGCUCGUAGGCGGUAUGUCAAGUCAAGGGUGAAAGCCCCGCGCUCAACGUGGGAACGGCCUUUGAAACUGGCAAACUGGAGUGUGUGAGAGGAUAGUGGAAUUCCAGGUGUAGGAGUGAAAUCCGUAGAUAUCUGGAGGAACAUCAGUGGCGAAGGCGACUAUCUGGCACAUAACUGACGCUGAGGAGCGAAAGCGUGGGUAGCAAACAGGAUUAGAUACCCGAGUAGUC